rnacentral:rRNA from 1 species
UACGUAGGUGGCUAGCGUUGUCCGGAUUUACUGGGCGUAAAGCGCGCGCAGGCGGUCGUUCAAGUCGAGUGUGAAAGCCCCCGGCUCAACUGGGGAGGGUCACUCGAUACUGAUCGACUCGAAGGCAGGAGAGGGAAGCGGAAUUCCCGGUGUAGUGGUGAAAUGCGUAGAUAUCGGGAGGAACACCAGUGGCGAAGGCGGCUUUCUGGCCUGCUCUUGACGCUGAGGCGCGAAAGCUAGGGUAGCAAACGGG